rnacentral:rRNA from 1 species
CGUGCAGGCGGUUUCGUAAGUCGAGCGUGAAAGCUCCUGGCUUAACUGGGAGAGGCCGUUCGAUACUGCGGAACUUGAGGUCGGGAGAGGGACGUGGAAUUCCCGGUGUAGUGGUGGAAUGCGUAGAUAUCGGGAGGAACACCAGUGGCGAAGGCGACGUCCUGGCCCGCACCUGACGCUAAGACGCGAAAGCGUGGGUAGCGAACG